UAAGAAAGAAAAACAUAAUAUUAUAAAAAAAUAAAUAUAGUAAAUAAAAAGAAUUUAAAUAAUAAAAAAUCUAUAGUUAAUAAAAAAAGUAGUGAAAACAAAAGAAAAAAUUAAAAAAAAAGUUUACCUAUCUUGUCAUACCUUUUGUAUCAGGGUUAAUUAACUAAAUGGCAGAAGAAAUUUUCUCGAAAAAAAAAAGAAUUAUGCUAAAAAGUAUUUAUUAACGUAAAAAAGUUAAAAUAAAACUAAACAUAGAUUUUAUAAGAAUACGAUUUUUUUAUAUCUAGUUGUUAAAUAAGUUAAUUUAAUUAAAAGAGCUAUAACGUCCAAACUUUUAAAUAAAUUUGUAAAAAUAUAGACCUAAAUGACUUAAAAGAUAAGUUUUAAAUCAAAAAGUACAUAUUUUUUAAAAUUCUAAAAGAGAAGUAAUAUUAAAAAUUUAACACUCAGAAGUAUGUUAUAAUAUAUCUCAAAUAAUAAAUAUUUAAUAAGUAAAAAUUUACCAUAAAAAAUUAACUAACAGAAUUAAAAUAAAAAAAAAAAAAAAAAAAUGAUUAAAUGAAUAUAUGUAUAAAGAUAAAUAAAAGAACUAGGCAAAAUCAAACUUCAACUGUUUAACAAAAACAUAACUCAAUGAAUAUUAAUAAUGAGCAAUUUCUGCUCAAUGAGCAAUUAAAUAGCCGCAGUAUAUUAACUGUGCUAAGGUAGCAUAAUAAUUAGUUUUUUAAUUAAAAACUAGAAUGAAUGAAAAAAUGAAGGUUUAACUUUUUUUGUUUAAAAGAUAAAAAUUAAACUUUAAGUUAAAAAGCUUAAAUAAAUAAAAAAGACAAAAAGACCCUUUAGAACUUUAUAAAAAGCAAAUUAUAACAAAAACGCCUUUUAUUUGGUUGGGGAGACAAUAAAACACAAACAACUUAUAUUAAAACCCAACACCAAUUAGUGAAAAUAAAAUAACCUACAAUAAGAAAAAAGAACAAGUUACCUAAGGGAUAACAGCGCACAACUUUUCAAAAGAUCAUAUUAACAAAAUGUAAUGCGACCUCGAUGUUGGAUUAGGAACAAUGCAAACAGAAAAAUGAUUGAAAUUGAGUCUGUUCGACUCUUAAACUCCUACAUGAUCCGAGUUCAGACCGGCGUAAGCCAGGUCAGUUUAUAUCUUUUUAAAUCAUAUUCUGCUAUAGUACGAAAGGAUUUAACAGAAAAAUUAAAUU
rnacentral:rRNA from 1 species